ACAAUACCAACGACCCGACCCGACCCCAUACUCGUCUUCUUCUUCUUCUUUACGCGAAAAUAAAAAACAAACCCAUAAUCACAGUACGCGUCUUCUUCUUUUCCUAUCUGCAAACCCGUAACCUAGCAGUCUAUCGAUGUCCCCUUUUCCCCGAUUUUGAAAUCUCUUCCCCUGUUUGGGUUUGAAAGGAGGAAAGAAAUUCAAAGGAUUCCCCCCCUAAAUUGCCCCAACUUUCCCCAUCAGUGAUUAGGGACACAGUUAAAAAGAUUUGAUUUUGAGGUCAUAUACGCUUACAGAAGGUUUUGAGUUUGGCAAUAAUAUUUUACACUUACGAGGCUAUUCUCUAAUUCUAAAUUCCGAAAAAGGCUUUGGUUCAAAUUUUCCUGUCUCUUGCUCGAGUCGUUGCUCUCAUAGGCUCGUUUUGCUCUCAGCAAGAAAGGACCAUUAGUGGAAAUGUUGUGGGUUGACAAGUACCACCCUAAAACAUUAGAGAAAGUUAUUGUACACCAGGAUGUUGCUCAAAAUCUUCGUAAACUGGUCUCAGAGGGAGAUUGUCCUCAUCUCCUCUUUUACGGCCCUUCCGGUUCAGGAAAGAAAACUCUCAUUAUGGCACUUCUUAGACAGAUUUUUGGUCCAAGUGCUGACAAGGUUAAGGUUGAGAACAAGAUUUGGAAAGUUGAUGCUGGUUCUCGGACAAUUGAUGUGGAGCUCACAACAUUGUCAAGCACUCACCAUGUGGAAUUAAAUCCAAGUGAUGCCGGAUUUCAGGACAGAUACGUUGUUCAAGAGAUAAUCAAAGAAAUGGCCAAGAAUAGACCAAUUGACACGAAAGGGAAAAAGGGGUUUAAAGUUUUAGUGCUAAAUGAAGUUGACAAGCUCUCAAGAGAAGCACAACAUUCUCUUCGAAGAACAAUGGAGAAGUACAGUGCAUCAUGUCGCCUGAUUCUUUGCUCCAACAGUUCUUCAAAGGUCACUGAAGCAGUUCGCUCACGAUGCCUUAAUGUGCGAAUAAAUGCACCAAUGGAGGAAGAGAUUGUUAGUGUUUUGGAAUUUAUUGCCAAAAAGGAAGGACUUCAAUUUCCACAGGGUUUUACCGCCCGCAUUGUGGAAAAGUCAAAUAGGAAUCUGAGGAGGGCAGUUUUGACAUUUGAGUCUUGCCGUGUUCAACAGUAUCCCUUUACAAACAACCAAACUAUACCUCCAAUGGACUGGGAGCAAUAUGUUUCAGAAAUUGCAUCAGACAUAAUGAAAGAGCAGAGCCCUAAAAGGUUAUUCGAGGUAAGAGGAAAGUUAUAUGAGCUACUAACUAAUUGUAUUCCCCCUGAAAUUAUUUUGAAGAGGCUACUUUUCGAACUAUUAAAGAAAUUGGAUUCAGAGUUGAAGCAUGAGGUGUCCAACUGGGCUGCUCAUUAUGAGCAUAGGAUGCGCCUUGGACAGAAGGCUAUAUUUCAUCUUGAAGUGAGCUGAUCGGAGCAGAAGCCUGGGAGAACAUCACGCGUAAAGAAGCAGUUGGAUUAUUUAUUGUUCAGGUCGAUAAUCCAAGGAAAUGGGCGACUGACGAUGUAUACAAUGUCUUGUGUGAUAAGAAUGUGCCACCAAGGGGUAAAGCAUUUGUGGCCAAAUUCAUGAGCAUCUACAAGAGUUUCCUUAUUUCAACAUUUGGCUAAGAUAGAAGAUCUGAAAAGUAGUAUGGAGCUGUUUGGCAGUAGGAAAAAGUUUUCUUUGUCCGUUGUGCUCAUGUCCUGUCGUGUUUUAAUUUAAUUUGGGCUGUACAAUUGUGCCUAGACAUUACUGUACCAGAAUCAUACUCCACUUAGGAUUGUGCACUGCUAGUAUCUUUGCAAUUGCCAUGUCGCGGUGGGUGCAAGGUAAUGGUACAUGUUGCAGUUAAUUUUUCCCCCAUCUCCCUAGCCCCUUUGAUGAGGAAAGUGAAUGAACUACAAGGAGUAGGUGUAUCAAAUUGUGGGUAUGAGUUUUGGUGGUAAACAAUUCAAUUUGCAGCUUAUUGCUGACUGCUAGACCUAAAGGAAAAACAAGAAAUGACAAUAUUGGGCAUUUGCUAGUUCA